rnacentral:rRNA from 1 species
UACGAAGGGGGCUAGCGUUGUUCGGAAUUACUGGGCGUAAAGCGCGCGUAGGCGGCGCUACAAGUCAGAGGUGAAAUCCCGGGGCUCAACUCCGGAACUGCCUUUGAAACUGUAGUGCUGGAAUCUCAGAGGGGAUAGCGGAAUUCCAAAUGUAGGGGUGAAAUCCGUAGAUAUUUGGAGGAACACCGGUGGCGAAGGCGGCUAUCUGGAUGAGUAUUGACGCUGAGGCGCGAAAGCGUGGGGAUCAAACAGG